ensembl:lncRNA
AUUCAAUACAUUUCUACAUUUUAGUCAUGUAGCAGACACUAUUAUCCAGAGUGACUGACAGUAGCGAUUGCAUAUGCUUACGUAUUUUUAAAAAAUAAAGAAAAAAAUGUAUUCACUGUGGGAACCAACCGUGGCAUUGCAAAGCGCAAAUGCCUCCAACAGUUUGUUGAGUCACAAGCUUGACCCACAGUUCAAACUGUCCAGAUCUGGAAGGACAACAGUAUCAAUUGUCUCCAGGGGUGUUUUGACUGUACAAUGUGGGAGGUAUUUGGUCUCCAGGGGUGUUUUGACUGUACUAUGUGUGAGGUAUUUGGUCUCCAGGGGUGUUUUGACUGUACUAUGUGGGAGGUAUUUGGUCUCCAGGGGUGUUUUGACUGUACUAUGUGGGAGGUAUUUGGUCUCCAGGGGUGUUUUGACUGUACUAUGUGGGAGGUAUUUGGUCUCCAGGGGUGUUUUGACUGUACUAUGUGGGAGGUAUUUGGUCUCCAGGGGUGUUUUGACUGUACUAUGUGGGAGGUAUCAAGAUUUGAAUCAGACAACAUUGUGUCAGAGGUAAAAAACAAACGGAAGCAUCAUUACAAAUGUUUGAGAGGGUUGUUGCUAAACAGGGUGAUGUUUUGAAGUUGUUCCGGGGAUGUAACACAUACAAAAGCCCAGACAAAAUAAGUGGGGUGUGUUAAAUAAGUGUGUGAAAGCGUUUGUGUUGAACAACUGGCUGGUGUUUUAACAGACAUUUUCCAAUCCUCGCUCGACUAGCAACACGUGCCAGCAUUGUGGAAAAACUCAAUAAUUAUACCCAAGGAGUCAAACAGACAGACCUGGAUGAGAUCUUUAAGGUCAGGGCCCUCCGCAAGGCUAACAAAUUAAUUUUAGACCCAAGCCACCCCCUGUAGCCAGACUUUGUACUUGUCCCCUCUGGGCGCAGGUAUAAGGCACCCCUCGGCAGGAAAAAAA